rnacentral:rRNA from 1 species
GGAGGUUUGGCACCUCGAUGUCGGCUCAUCGCAUCCUGGGGCUGUAGUCGGUCCCAAGGGUUGGGCUGUUCGCCCAUUAAAGCGGUACGCGAGCUGGGUUCAGAACGUCGUGAGACAGUUCGGUCCCUAUCCGUCGUGGGCGUAGGAAAUUUGAGAGGAGCUGUCCUUAGUACGAGAGGACCGGGAUGGACAUACCUCUGGUGUACCAGUUGUCGUGCCAACGGCAUAGCUGGGUAGCUAUGUGUGGACGGGAUAAGUGCUGAAAGCAUCUAAGCAUGAAGCCCCCCU